rnacentral:rRNA from 1 species
GGUUGAAGGUUGGGUAACACUAACUGGAGGACCGAACCGACUAAUGUUGAAAAAUUAGCGGAUGACCUGUGGCUGGGGGUGAAAGGCCAAUCAAACCGGGAGAUAGCUGGUUCUCCCCGAAAGCUAUUUAGGUAGCGCCUCGUGAAUUCAUCUCCGGGGGUAGAGCACUGUUUCGGCUAGGGGGCCAUCCCGGCUUACCAACCCGAUGCAAACUGCGAAUACCGGAGAAUGUUAUCACGGGAGACACACGGCGGGUGCUAACGUCCGUCGUGAAGAGGGAAACAACCCAGACCGCCAGCUAAGGUCCCAAAGUCAUGGUUAAGUGGGAAACGAUGUGGGAAGGCCCAGACAGCCAGGAUGUUGGCUUAGAAGCAGCCAUCAUUUAAAGAAAGCGUAAUAGCUCACUGGUCGAGUCGGCCUGCGCGGAAGAUGUAACGGGGCUAAACCAUGCACCGAAGCUGCGGCAGCGAACGUAUCACCCAAGACAACUUUACGGAGUUGACGAUUGACGGAGCGAAGCGACGUCAAAGCGUUCAUUAAAGUCGAGUUGGCUUAGGGAUACGUUCGUUGGGUAGGGGAGCGUUCUGUAAGCCUGUGAAGGUGUGUCGUGAGGCAUGCUGGAGGUAUCAGAAGUGCGAAUGCUGACAUAAGUAACGAUAAAGCGGGUGAAAAGCCCGCUCGCCGGAAGACCAAGGGUUCCUGUCCAACGUUAAUCGGGGCAGGGUGAGUCGACCCCUAAGGCGAGGCCGAAAGGCGUAGUCGAUGGGAAACGGGUUAAUAUUCCCGUACUUGGUGUUACUGCGAAGGGGGGACGGAGAAGGCUAUGUUGGCCGGGCGACGGUUGUCCCGGUUUAAGCGUGUAGGUGUGUGUUCCAGGUAAAUCCGGUUCACUUUAACACUGAGGCGUGACGACGAGGCACUACGGUGCUGAAGCAACAAAUGCCCUGCUUCCAGGAAAAGCCUCUAAGCAUCAGGUAACAUCAAAUCGUACCCCAAACCGACACAGGUGGUCAGGUAGAGAAUACCAAGGCGCUUGAGAGAACUCGGGUGAAGGAACUAGGCAAAAUGGUGCCGUAACUUCGGGAGAAGGCACGCUGACACGUAGGUGAAGUGAUUUACUCAUGGAGCUGAAGUCAGUCGAAGAUACCAGCUGGCUGCAACUGUUUAUUAAAAACACAGCACUGUGCAAACACGAAAGUGGACGUAUACGGUGUGACGCCUGCCCGGUGCCGGAAGGUUAAUUGAUGGGGUCAGCGCAAGCGAAGCUCCUGAUCGAAGCCCCGGUAAACGGCGGCCGUAACUAUAACGGUCCUAAGGUAGCGAAAUUCCUUGUCGGGUAAGUUCCGACCUGCACGAAUGGCGUAAUGAUGGCCAGGCUGUCUCCACCCGAGACUCAGUGAAAUUGAACUCGCUGUGAAGAUGCAGUGUACCCGCGGCAAGACGGAAAGACCCCGUGAACCUUUACUAUAGCUUGACACUGAACAUUGAGCCUUGAUGUGUAGGAUAGGUGGGAGGCUUUGAAGUGUGGACGCCAGUCUGCAUGGAGCCGACCUUGAAAUACCACCCUUUAAUGUUUGAUGUUCUAACGUGGACCCGUAAUCCGGGUUGCGGACAGUGUCUGGUGGGUAGUUUGACUGGGGCGGUCUCCUCCUAAAGAGUAACGGAGGAGCACGAAGGUUGGCUAAUCCUGGUCGGACAUCAGGAGGUUAGUGCAAUGGCAUAAGCCAGCUUGACUGCGAGCGUGACGGCGCGAGCAGGUGCGAAAGCAGGUCAUAGUGAUCCGGUGGUUCUGAAUGGAAGGGCCAUCGCUCAACGGAUAAAAGGUACUCCGGGGAUAACAGGCUGAUACCGCCCAAGAGUUCAUAUCGACGGCGGUGUUUGGCACCUCGAUGUCGGCUCAUCACAUCCUGGGGCUGAAGUAGGUCCCAAGGGUAUGGCUGUUCGCCAUUUAAAGUGGUACGCGAGCUGGGUUUAGAACGUCGUGAGACAGUUCGGUCCCUAUCUGCCGUGGGCGCUGGAGAACUGAGGGGGGCUGCUCCUAGUACGAGAGGACCGGAGUGGACGCAUCACUGGUGUUCGGGUUGUCAUGCCAAUGGCACUGCCCGGUAGCUAAAUGCGGAAGAGAUAAGUGCUGAAAGCAUCUAAGCACGAAACUUGCCCCGAGAUGAGUUCUCCCUGAGACUUAGAGUCUCCUGAAGGAACGUUGAAGACGACGACGUUGAUAGGCCGGGUGUGUAAGCGCAGCGAUGCGUUGAGCUAACCGGUACUAAUGAACCGUGAGGCUUAACCUUACAAC